rnacentral:rRNA from 1 species
UGGGUGCCCGCGAGGGAGCCUAGCACAGGUGCUGCAUGGCCGUCGUCAGCUCGUGCCGUGAGGUGUUGGGUUAAGUCCCGCAACGAGCGCAACCCCCGCCGUUAGUUGCUACAUUCAGUUGGGCACUCUAAUGAGACUGCCGGUGACAAGCCGGAGGAAGGUGGGGAUGACGUCAAGUCCUCAUGGCCCUUAUAGGUGGGGCUACACACGUCAUACAAUGGCUGGUACAAAGGGUUGCCAACCCGCAGGGGGAGCCAAUCCCAUAAAGCCAGUCGUAGUCCGGAUCGUAGUCUGCAACUCGACUACGUGAAGUCGGAAUCGCUAGUAAUCGUGGAUCAGAAUGUCACGGUGAAUACGUUCCCGGGUCUU